GAUGAACGCUGGCGGCGUGCCUAAUACAUGCAAGUCGAGCGAGCAGACGAGGAGCUUGCUCCUCUGACGUUAGCGGCGGACGGGUGAGUAACACGUGGAUAACCUACCUAUAAGACUGGGAUAACUUCGGGAAACCGGAGCUAAUACCGGAUAAUAUAUUGAACCGCAUGGUUCAAUAGUGAAAGACGGUUUUGCUGUCACUUAUAGAUGGAUCCGCGCCGCAUUAGCUAGUUGGUAAGGUAACGGCUUACCAAGGCAACGAUGCGUAGCCGACCUGAGAGGGUGAUCGGCCACACUGGAACUGAGACACGGUCCAGACUCCUACGGGAGGCAGCAGUAGGGAAUCUUCCGCAAUGGGCGAAAGCCUGACGGAGCAACGCCGCGUGAGUGAUGAAGGUCUUCGGAUCGUAGAACUCUGUUAUUAGGGAAGAACAAAUGUGUAAGUAACUAUGCACGUCUUGACGGUACCUAAUCAGAAAGCCACGGCUAACUACGUG
rnacentral:rRNA from 1 species